ensembl:lncRNA
GUAACCUUGAAGAGCUCCAUGUGUCUGAUUCCAAGAAUAAUACAUGACAUUCCUCACACUGAAAGAUGGGACACAGCAGUGCUUCACGUUCCUGUCUUCACUGUUCCAUCACACCUGAUUCAGCUCAUGAUGCGCUCGAUAAUUACCGAAGUUUUGUCGUAUGUGUCAACGGGUAAAAUGAUUGACUCUGUAGCUUUCCCGGAAUAGAAACAGAAUCGCUUCUUGUGAAGAACCAAAAGCGGCCGAUCAUCAAGAUCAACAUACCGGAAUCAGACUGUAGUGCUCGGGCUCUCAUCACGGUGCCCACUGAGCGGUGAGGGACCUGGGCAGAGAGCGGGAGUGCCAACCGUACAGCUGCGGUGAGGGAUGCUCUGUGUUCUACUGCCCUCCGAUGGUGGCUUUGAC